CCUAAAGCGUCAAAGUUGAGCUCAAAAGUUGAUAGCAACUCACAUGUGCUGCAGAGGAACUUUUGACACAAUCCCACAGGAUUGACUCAGAAGUGGCUGCAUGACUCUUGAGCACCUCCCUGGCUUCUCACACCUCCUCUAUCAGCUGUUGGACUUCAACAAAUACAAAGACAGGACAAGGGGAAUGCCUCCCUGGCAGCCAGGGUUUUAGGCCCAGCUGCAAAUUGAGAGAAUAACAGCAAGAACAACUCAGGGCUAAAGGAAAAGAUCUGCUCAGUGUCUCUGAUUUUGGAGCCACAGACCCAACAAAGUUCGUACUCGGUGCAGCUCUGAGAAGGUGGUGCUACCAGGCUCUAAAAAGGAAAUUUUAAAAUUCUUCAGUGGAGAAGAAAGAUGUCUCCUAGGCAUGGGAUUUGUUCCCUAAUUUAUUCCUCUCUACCCAGGACCAGUGUGAGCCUGUAGUCUAGGUAAGUGUGUCUUCUCUGAGGGCAGAAACUUUCCUUCAGGUGGCCUGUCUCAAGUUCCAGCCUGGGGAGAGGUAGUUAGCCACCCCAUUUGGUUCUCAUGGUUCUUCAGCUUUAUUAAUAAUUGCAUU
ensembl:lncRNA